AGAACUUAGCAGAGAUGCUUUGGUGCCUUCGGGAACUCUGAGACAGGUGCUGCAUGGCUGUCGUCAGCUCGUGUUGUGAAAUGUUGGGUUAAGUCCCGCAACGAGCGCAACCCUUAUCCUUUGUUGCCAGCGGUCCGGCCGGGAACUCAAAGGAGACUGCCAGUGAUAAACUGGAGGAAGGUGGGGAUGACGUCAAGUCAUCAUGGCCCUUACGAGUAGGGCUACACACGUGCUACAAUGGCGCAUACAAAGAGAAGCGACCUCGCGAGAGCAAGCGGACCUCAUAAAGUGCGUCGUAGUCCGGAUUGGAGUCUGCAACUCGACUCCAUGAAGUCGGAAUCGCUAGUAAUCGUGGAUCAGAAUGCCACGGUGAAUACGUUCCCGGGCCUUGUACACACCGCCCGUCACACCAUGGGAGUGGGUUGCAAAGAAGUAGGUAGCUUAACCUUCGGGAGGGCGCUUACCACUUUGUGAUUCAUGACUGGGGUGAAGUCGUAACAAGGUAAGCGUAGUGCU
rnacentral:rRNA from 1 species